AUUGAACGCUGGCGGCAGGCCUAACACAUGCAAGUCGAGCGAGCGGCGGACGGGUGAGUAAUGUAUGGGGACUGCCCGAUAGAGGGGGAUAACUACUGGAAACGGUGGCUAAUACCGCAUACUGUCGGAUAACCCAUAGGGGAUUAGCUAGUAGUUAGGGUAAUGGCUUACCUGGGCGACGAUCCCUAGCUGGUCUGAGAGGAUGAUCAGCCAAACGGGGACUGGGAAAGGGCCCAGAUUCUAACGGAGGAAGAAUGGGGGAUCAUUCGACAUGGGGCGCAAGCCUGAUGCAGCAAUGCCGGGUGUAUGAAGAAGGCCUCAGGGUUGUAAAGUACUUUCAGUCGGGAGGCGUUACCGACAGAAGAAGCACCGGCUAACUCCGUGCCAGCAGCCGCGGUAAUUC
rnacentral:rRNA from 1 species